rnacentral:tRNA from 1 species
AAGAUUAAUACAAAUAGGCUUCUAACCUAUGAUUAAUGAGGUUUCAUUUAAUCUUUAUUUAAAUAG